CCUACGGGAGGCAGCAGUGAGGAAUUUUCCGCAAUGGGCGGAAGCCUGACGGAGCAAUACCGCGUGAAGGAAGAAGGCCCGUGGGUCGUAAACUUCUUUUCUUAAGGAAGAAUCAAUGACGGUACUUAAGGAAUAAGCACCGGCUAACUCUGUGCCAGCAGCCGCGGUAAU
rnacentral:rRNA from 1 species